UUUAAACGUAGCUAUGAGUUUUUUUAUCCAAUUUUGAUCGUACGUAUUAUUUAAAUUUUUUUAUGAUUAGUAUUUUUUAUUGUUAUUCGAUGAUAAAACAUUAAUAGUACUUUAUGUGUGAUUUAUGUUUUAUUUAAUUUUUUUUAAAAAAAAUUAAAUAAGACAGAUGAUUAAAACUAGACACGGAUCGACAAUAAAGGACAUACU
rfam:Oryza barthii chromosome 4, whole genome shotgun sequence.